UGAGUAACCUGCCCUUAACUCUGGGAUAAGCCUGGGAAACUGGGUCUAAUACCGGAUAUGACUCCUCGUCGCAUGGUGGGGGGUGGAAAGCUUUUUUGUGGUUUUGGAUGGACUCGCGGCCUAUCAGCUUGUUGGUGAGGUAAUGGCUUACCAAGGCGACGACGGGUAGCCGGCCUGAGAGGGUGACCGGCCACACUGGGACUGAGACACGGCCCAGACUCCUACGGGAGGCAGCAGUGGGGAAUAUUGCACAAUGGGCGCAAGCCUGAUGCAGCGACGCCGCGUGAGGGAUGACGGCCUUCGGGUUGUAAACCUCUUUCAGUAGGGAAGAAGCGAAAGUGACGGUACCUGCAGAAGAAGCGCCGGCUAACUACGUGCCAGCAGCCGCGGUAAUACGUAGGGCGCAAGCGUUAUCCGGAAUUAUUGGGCGUAAAGAGCUCGUAGGCGGUUUGUCGCGUCUGCCGUGAAAG
rnacentral:rRNA from 1 species